ensembl:misc_RNA 7SK 7SK RNA
GGAUGUUAGGGCGAUCUGGUUGUGACAUCUGUCACCCCAUUGAUCACCAGGUUGAUUCGGCUUAUCUGGCUGGCUAGGCGGGUGUCCCCUUCCUCCCUCACCGCUCCAUGUGCGUCCCUCCCAAAGCUGCGAGGUCAGUCGAAGAGGGUGACCAUCCCCAAUAGAGGAGGACCGGUCUUCGGUCAAAUGUAUGCGAGUAGCUGCGCUCCCCUGCUAAAACCUCUAAAAUAAUGUUUCUUUAGAUGAAAUUUGAGAAUUCUAUUUAUAAAUACUACAUUGCUAUUCUUAAGUACUAUGUUUUCA